AUCUAAGAAGUAAAAUAAUAAGAAGUUAAAAAUCAGAAAUAAAAAAUCAGAAUCUAUCGACUCCGACUCUUCUUUCCCUCCAUCGAAGAGCGAUUAGGUUUCGCCGUCGACACCUUCUUUCUCCGACAUGUCUUAGUUUGUUGGAGACCUUUAACUCAUCGUCACAUCUCUCCUUCAUCCUCCUUCUUUCGUAUCUCCUCUUUAAACACCACCAAUUAGAAUAACUUUGUAAUCUCCGCCGGCUACAAUUGGAGUUGUUCAAGCUCGGACAAGCUUCUUGUCGCCGGUUGAUAAAGGACGAUUAGCAUCACAUUGUUCUUCGUUUGCUCUUAAUUCAUCUUGGUUCCCAAAACUUGGAGUUUAGGGUUUUGAAAUCCCCUUUAGAUUUUUUUUUUUUUGUUCAUAAUUUGUUUAUUUGCAUGUACUAGGAAGAUAUUUGAAUUGUUAAAAUACAAAUCGAUUCAUGUUUAUGGUUUCAAUUUUUUUUGGAAGACUAUCUAGUUUAAAGGUUUAAUCUUUAAACAUGAACUUGAUUUCUCUCUGAUGGGUUUAACACAGUAUUUGUCUUGGGUGUUGUUGUAGAUUGAUAAGCUUAAAGCUGGAGUACUAGUUGGGACUGGUGAUGGAAAGCUUGGAACAUGUGAUGAAACACGAUGUUCAAAUUGUAGGAGAACUUUCCCUAUGGUGAACAAGCAGUGGAGAAAGUAUAGGCUCUUGAUUUUUUUGUCCUUUUGAUUGGAUCUUAUUUGUGUAUCUUCUGUAAGCAGAUCAAAAGAAAAUGUAACAUUUAAAGUGAAGUAAUUUUUGUUGAUCCAUCA